rnacentral:rRNA from 1 species
UACGUAGGGUGCAAGCGUUGUCCGGAAUUAUUGGGCGUAAAGAGCUCGUAGGCGGUUUGUCGCGUCUGCUGUGAAAACCCGAGGCUCAACCUCGGGCCUGCAGUGGGUACGGGCAGACUAGAGUGCGGUAGGGGAGAUUGGAAUUCCUGGUGUAGCGGUGAAAUGCGCAGAUAUCGGGAAGAACACCUAUGGCGAAGGCAGCUCUCUGGGACGGUACUGACGCUGAGACGCGAAAGCGUGGGGAGCGAACAGG